UUUUUUUUUUUUUUUUUUACCUACAACAACUAAACAGUCCCAAUUUUUGAGAAGGGACAUUGUCAUUCCUUCUCACUUAACCUUAAAUUAACAAAGAUUUCCAAAUUUAUCAUACCAUAUUAACCCCAAAAUGCCAAAGAUUUACAAAAUUGCCAUUCAUAUCACCACUACUCCUUUCAAUAGUGCAAUUUCCUAUGAGUUUUAAUGUAUUUUGAUGUAUUACUUCGGCAAUUCAUUCUUCAUCAAUAUAAGUUACUUUUAGAUGAUUUACAACCAUCAACAAAUCCAAAUUGCUUUCUAAUUGAAAUAAGUAAUAUAACUCUCACGAUAUAAUCUCAAGACUUGAAAAUGAUGAAUAAGAUAAAACCAUAUUCACUUGGCAUAUGCAAUUAAUUGACAUAAUUUUGUAAUGUUGCAGUUAACGUGCACACCAAGUGAACAAAAACAUGCAAUCAAACUAAUAUUCAUCUCCUUCAAAACUUUUGUCGAAAAAACCUUGAGGGUUCAUUUAUAGUUCGCAUUCCCAACAAUAUUUUUUCUUGCUUACGAGCCCUUUCUUCUGGCUCAAGUUUUGGAGCUUUGCUUGUAAUUGUAGAAAUUCCCACAUAGUCAUCAACAUCUAUAGGACCAUCAAAAGAAACUCCGGCAGUUUUUAUCUCUCUAUUUUUAGAUCCAAGUGAUACUUCUAAUACUUUGCUGCACUCAAUGUCCUUCCCGGUAUCAUCGAAAUAUAUCAAAAUUUCUAACCCUAAGGGCUUUUUCUCCACUUUCUUAGCUGCCCUGUUAACACCACUAAGGGCUUUUUCUCCACCUUUUUAGUUGCCUUGUUAACACCACUAACGCAGGAUUUUGCUACACUUCUUUGGCAACCUCAGUUACACCAGCUAUUGUGGAAAUUUUGCUUUCCCCAGUGAUGUUGGCAUCCUUCAAAGUUGGAGGUGCAAGAUUUUCAGAUUGUUUGUGUGCAUUGUCGACACCAUAUUUUAGCCGA
rnacentral:misc_RNA from 1 species